rnacentral:miRNA from 2 species
UGCCCCAUUGACUGAAAGGAAUCCCUUCUGGUCAAUGAGGUAGCUGUACCUCAUUGACUGGAAGGAAUCCCAAUCCCUUCUGGUUGGCAAAAUGUUGUACAUCACUGACCAAAAGGGGUCCCUCUUGGUCAAUGAGGUAAAACAAACUCAUUGAACGGAAGGGAUUCCUUCCAGUCAAUGAGGUA